GAUGAACGCUGGCGGCGUGCUUAACACAUGCAGGUCGAACGGAAAGGCUCCUGCUUGCAGGGGUACUCGAGUGGCGAACGGGUGAGUAACACGUGGGUGAUCUGCCCUGCACUUCGGGAUAAGCCUGGGAAACUGGGUCUAAUACCGGAUAGGACCACAUUUUGGAUGGUGUGGUGGAAAGUUUUUCGGUGUGGGAUGAGCUCGCGGCCUAUCAGCUUGUUGGUGGGGUAAUGGCCUACCAAGGCGUCGACGGGUAGCCGGCCUGAGAGGGUGUACGGCCACAUUGGGACUGAGAUACGGCCCAGACUCCUACGGGAGGCAGCAGUGGGGAAUAUUGCACAAUGGGCGCAAGCCUGAUGCAGCGACGCAGCGUGGAGGAUGACGGCCUUCGGGUUGUAAACUCCUUUCGCUAGGGACGAAGCGCAAGUGACGGUACCUGGAGAAGAAGCACCGGCUAACUACGUG
rnacentral:rRNA from 1 species